AUUGCAUAAUGCAGUAGCCACUGGAUUUGCAGCAGAAACACUCUGCUACAGAACAAGUGUCUUGGUUCACAGCAAAGAGGACAAAGAAAACAGCAAGUUUUAGGGGGUUGAAUCCUGGAUUCCCCUGGCAAACACCAUUCUACUUUCCGUCUCUAUGAAUUUGACUACUCGAAGUACCUCAUGUGAAAUGUUGGUGCCAAAUGAACUUUUCUGGUUCUUCUGAAUAUGCCACUGUUGCUGGAGAAAUGUCACUGCUAGAGAACAGAAGACUAUUAUUCCAAAGGGUAUUUGAGACUGACUGAAUCAGGUCUGGAACAUUAUUGAAAUGAGACCCACAAAAGAAGAGAUACUGAGAUCAUUUGCUCCAGAAGAAGCUGGUUGCCAUGUCUUGAGGACAGUAAACCCUCUGGGGAGGUUCCUGUGGUAAGGAACAAGGGCUCCUGGCAAUAGCCUCUGAGUGAGCCACCUUGAAAAUGGAUUGUCCAGCCCCAGUCAAGCUUUCAGAUGACUGUAGCUCCUGCCAAUGUCUUCACCACAACCUCAUGAGAUCCCAAGCUACAACCACUCAGUUAAGUUAUGCCAAAAUUCCUGAUUCACAGAAAUUGACAUACAGGAGAGGUCACAGUUAAGAUCUUGAUGUUCUAUCUUGACCCAUAAUAUAGGAACUUCAUCUUUUGGGAAGCACCAGGGAGAGCUGCCUGUGCCUGGCAGAAGCUGCCCAUGCCCCACUGAUACCCCACAGUACUUCCUGUUCUGCUUAGUACUCCUGCUUCUUUCUACAAACAACUGUGAUUCUCUACCUGGGAGCUUCCUCUGGCCACAGGAGCCUGCUCACCUGAUUGGGACACCCUAGCAGUACUGGCUCAUAGAUGGAAGGGACUUGCCUUGUCGCUGAUGAGACUUUCGACUUGGACUUUUGAGUCAAUGCUGGAAUGAGUUAAGACUUUGGGGAACUGUUGGAAGGGUGUGAUUGUGUUUUGAAUUGUGAGGACAUGAGAUUUUGAAGAGGCUAAUGGCAGCGUCCCCACCUAAAUCUCUUCUUGAAUUGUAGUUCCCAUAAUCCCCACGUGUCGUGGGGUGGAGCCGGUGGAGAUAAUUGAAUCAUGGGAACACUUUCCCCCAUGCUGUUAUUGUGAUUGUGAAUUCUCACGAGAUCUGAUGGUUGUAUAAACGCCUUCCCUCUUCGCUGGGCACUCAUUUUUCUCCUUCCUGCCACCAUGUGAAGAAGGAUAUGCUUGCUUCUUGUGCCAUGAUUGUAAGUUUCCUGAGGCCUCCCCAGCCAUGCUGAACUGUGAGUCAAUUGAACCUCUUUCCUUUAUAAAUUACCUAGUCUUGGAUAUGUUUUUAUUAGCAGUGUGAGACAGGACUAAUACACAAAGGAUUUGAAAUCACAAAGGAGCUGUUUUCUGCUCCACCAUGGAAGUCUCACAUGCAUCACAUCUAUUCAUAUCCAUUUGCCACAACUAGACAAAAAGUCCUUUUUAAAAUCUGCCUAGAGAUCAGGAAGUAUUAUCUCUGGAUGCCUAGGCAGGAGAGGUGAAUCAGAUAUUGGUGGGCACUAGUGUGUUCUAUGAUACAUAGCUUAAUAAAAAUAAGUUUCAGAUAAAUCUAAAUAUACAUUAGAAUACUGUAACCACAGUAGAAAAAAAUAUUGGCUCCUUUUUGUGAUAAACUAAUGAUGGUAAAUGCACCCUAUUUAAGCAAGAAAAGAAACUGAUCUGCCAUAAAGAAAACAAUGACAUAUUUAACUACAAAAUAUGUUACAAAAUAUUAAUAUCCCUAAUGGACAAAUGAGUUCCAAUAAAUGGAUAACAAAAAACCAAUAAGUCUGUAGAAAAAUGGAGAAAAUAUAUUUGCAGAAUAUUUAUACAGGUGGUAAUGAAAUUGACAAUGAUGUUUAUCAUCAGCAGUAAACAGUAAAAAGUUUCACCCACCAGGACUAUAGAAAUUUUUCAAAUGGAUAAUUUUCAGAAUCAGCAAAGUUAUAGAAAAGUAGGUACCAGUUGCACAUACCAUUGGAGGAAAUGUAAAAUAUAGUUACCUUGUGGAAAGUAAUCUGAUGUAAUAUAUUAAAAUUUUAUCCAUGUAUGUCCUAUAAUUCAGCAAUUCCAUGUUGGGGAAUCCAUACAAAGAAAUACUUAUACACAUGCAGAAGGAGCUAAGUUUAAGAAAGCACACAUUUCAGCGGGUUGUGGUGUCUCACCCCUGUAAUCCCAGCACAUUGGGAGGCCGAGGUUGGUGGAUCACCUGAGGUCAGGAGUUUGAGACCAGCCUGGCCAACAUGGUGAAACCCUGUCUCUACUAAAAAUACAAAAAAUUAGCUGGUGUGGCAGUGGGUGCCUGCAGCUACUCAGGAGGCUGAGGCAGGAGAAUCGCUUGAACCUGGGAGGUGGAGGUUGCAGUGAGCUGAGAUCACACCACUGCACUCCAGCCU
rnacentral:lncRNA from 1 species